GAGGGUAUAGCUCAGUGGUAGCGAGCGUGCUUAGCACGCACGAGGUCCUGAGUUCAAUCCCCAGUACCUCCA
rfam:Camelus ferus unplaced genomic scaffold scaffold672, whole genome shotgun sequence.